rnacentral:rRNA from 1 species
UACGAGAGGUGCAAGCGUUGUUCGGAAUGACUGGGCGUAAAGCGCACGUAGGCGGGCAAGUAAGUCGGAUGUGAAAUCCCUGGGCUUAACCUGGGAACUGCAUCUGAAACUGCAUGUCUUGAAUGUCUCAGAGGUUGGUGGAAUUCCUGGUGUAGGAGUGAAAUCCGUAGAUAUCAGGAGGAACAUCGGAGGCGAAGGCGGCCAACUGGGAGCACAUUGACGCUGAGGUGCGAAAGCGUGGGGAGCAAACAGG